CAGGUGGGCCAGUGCCAGGAGUGGCUGUCCCUUGAGCCCCUGUCAGUCUCUGGCAGAUCCGAUUACACUGGGGACCCUUAAGAGCACUUGAAGCGAACCCACCAUGGGUCUAUUUUAAUCCUGCGCCUUCUAGAGAGUAGGAAGUGUAAGGAGACGCUUCCUGCUGACAGGUGGCCCCAUAAAAGUCGUCCAUCUGCUGCUAAUUAUGGCAGAAAGAAAAUUCACACGGCCGAGGUUUCUGUGUAUUUGCUAAAGAUCUCCAGAGGUGUAACUGUCUUCCUGGAUCACAAGGCCAUUCACAGCAUUACAUCUAUAGAGCCUGUUAAUUUUUUUUUUAAAAUAAUUUAAAACUCAGGGCAGGAGGGAGUGUUU
ensembl:lincRNA Gm28195 predicted gene 28195